rnacentral:rRNA from 1 species
UACGUAGGUGGCGAGCGUUAUCCGGAAUGAUUGGGCGUAAAGGGUGCGUAGGCGGCCUGCUAAGUCUGGAGUGAAAGGUACCGGCUCAACCGGUACAGGCUCUGGAAACUGGCGGGCUAGAGAGCAGGAGAGGGCGGUGGAACUCCAUGUGUAGCGGUAAAAUGCGUAGAUAUAUGGAAGAACACCAGUGGCGAAGGCGGCCGCCUGGCCUGUUGGUACUGACGCUGAGGCACGAAAGCGUGGGGAGCAAACAGG